rnacentral:rRNA from 1 species
UACUCCUACGGGAGGCAGCAGUGAGGAAUUUUGGUCAAUGGACGGAAGUCUGAACCAGCCAAGUCGCGUGAAGGAAGGCGGCCCUAAGGGUUGUAAACUUCUUUGUAAGGGAAUAAAGUGCGUUACGUGUAGUGCAUGCAAGUAC